rnacentral:tRNA from 1 species
AAGAAAGUCGUAAAGGUUACGUAGUUGACUUGAAAUUAACUUUUGAAGGUUCAAUUCCUUCCUUUCUUG